GUGCAGCCGCCGCGGUAAUACCGGCAGCCCGAGUGAUGGCCGAUCUUAUUGGGCCUAAAGCGUCCGUAGCUGGCUGCGCAAGUCCGUCGGGAAAUCCACUCGCCCAACGAGUGGCCGUCCGGUGGAAACUCCACACCUUGGGACCGGAAGGCUCGAAGGGUACGGCCGGGGUAGGAGUGAAAUCCUGUAAUCCCGUCCGGACCACCGAUGGCGAAAGCACUUCGAGAAAACGGAUCCGACAGUGAGGGACGAAAGCUAAGAUCGCGAACCGGAUUAGAAACCCGGGUAGUCC
rnacentral:rRNA from 1 species